rnacentral:rRNA from 1 species
CAUCCCGACUUACCAACCCGAUGCAAACUGCGAAUACCGGAGAAUGUUAUCACGGGAGACACACGGCGGGUGCUAACGUCCGUCGUGAAGAGGGAAACAACCCAGACCGCCAGCUAAGGUCCCAAAGUCAUGGUUAAGUGGGAAACGAUGUGGGAAGGCCCAGACAGCCAGGAUGUUGGCUUAGAAGCAGCCAUCAUUUAAAGAAAGCGUAAUAGCUCACUGGUCGAGUCGGCCUGCGCGGAAGAUGUAACGGGGCUAAACCAUGCACCGAAGCUGCGGCAGCGACGCUGAUGCGUUGUUGGGUAGGGGAGCGUUCUGUAAGCCUGCGAAGGUGUGCUGUGAGGCAUGCUGGAGGUAUCAGAAGUGCGAAUGCUGACAUAAGUAACGAUAAAGCGGGUGAAAAGCCCGCUCGCCGGAAGACCAAGGGUUCCUGUCCAACGUUAAUCGGGGCAGGGUGAGUCGACCCCUAAGGCGAGGCCGAAAGGCGUAGUCGAUGGGAAACAGGUUAAUAUUCCUGUACUUGGUGUUACUGCGAAGGGGGGACGGAGAAGGCUAUGUUGGCCGGGCGACGGUUGUCCCGGUUUAAGCGUGUAGGCUGGUUUUCCAGGCAAAUCCGGAAAAUCAAGGCUGAGGCGUGAUGACGAGGCACUACGGUGCUGAAGCAACAAAUGCCCUGCUUCCAGGAAAAGCCUCUAAGCAUCAGGUAACAUCAAAUCGUACCCCAAACCGACACAGGUGGUCAGGUAGAGAAUACCAAGGCGCUUGAGAGAACUCGGGUGAAGGAACUAGGCAAAAUGGUGCCGUAACUUCGGGAGAA